CCUACGGGAGGCAGCAGUAGGGAAUCUUCGGCAAUGGGGGGAACCCUGACCGAGCAACGCCGCGUGAGUGAAGAAGGUUUUCGGAUCGUAAAGCUCUGUUGUUAAGGAAGAACGAGUGUGAGAAUGGAAAGUUCAUGCUGUGACGGUACUUAACCAGAAAGGGACGGCUAACUACGUGCCAGCAGCCGCGGUAA
rnacentral:rRNA from 1 species